GUCCACGCCGUAAACGAUGGACACUAGGCGUCGGGGGAGGCUACCCUCCCGGUGCCGUCGCUAACGCAGUAAGUGUCCCGCCUGGGGAGGUACGGCCGCAAGGCUGAAACUCAAAGGAAUUGACGGGGGCCCGCACAAGCGGUGGAGCAUGUGGUUUAAUUCGAAGCAACGCGAAGAACCUUACCUGGGCUUGACAUGCACGGGAAAGCCGGUGGAAACAUCGGUUCCUCUUCGGAGUCCGUGCACAGGUGCUGCAUGGCUGUCGU
rnacentral:rRNA from 1 species